ACACUCCUACAUCAUAGCGUUAAUGCACUGGAUCCCAUUAGAACUCCAUAGUUAAGUGUGCUCAUGAUAGAGUAGUAAUAUAAGUUGGGUUUCAUAUUUUUGUGUAUU
rnacentral:rRNA from 1 species